rnacentral:rRNA from 1 species
GGUUAACGCUGGCGGCGUGCCUAACACAUGCAAGUCGAACGGUUCUAAGCGCGAGCUUAGGAUAGUGGCGAACGGGUGGGUAAAAGGUAGGAAUCUACCCCUUGGACGGAGAUAGCUACUGGAAACGGUAGGUAAACUUCGAUAAGCCCGAGAGGGGAAAGUGGUGAGACAGCCGAGGGAUGAGCCUACUCUCCAUCAGGUAGUUGGUGAGAUAAAAGCUUACCAAGCCGAUGACGGAUAACCGGUGUGAGAGCAUGAACGGUCACAAGGGCACUGAGAGACGGGCCCUACUCCUACGGGAGGCAGCAGUGGGGAAUCUUGGACAAUGGGCGAAAGCCUGAUCCAGCGACGCCGCGUGGAGGAAGAAGUCCUUCGGGAUGUAAACUUCUGAACUAGCCGAAUAAAAGGACCUGUGGACACACAGAGAAGAAAGUAGGCUAGGAAAGUACCCGGCUAACUACGUGCCAGCAGCCGCGGUAAAAUAGACGUACU